rnacentral:rRNA from 1 species
AUUGAACGCUGGCGGCAGGCCUAACACAUGCAAGUCGAACGGCAGCACAGAAGAGCUUGCUCUUUGGAUGGCGAGUGGCGGACGGGUGAGUAAUGUCUGGGAAACUGCCCGAUGGAGGGGGAUAACUACUGGAAACGGUAGCUAAUACCGCAUAACGUCGCGAGACCAAAGUGGGGGACCUUCGGGCCUCACACCAUCGGAUGUGCCCAGAUGGGAUUAGCUAGUAGGUGGGGUAAUGGCUCACCUAGGCGACGAUCCCUAGCUGGUCUGAGAGGAUAACCAGCCACACGGGAACUGAGACACGGUCCAGACUCCUACGGGAGGCAGCAGUGGGGAAUAUUGCACAAUGGGCGCAAGCCUGAUGCAGCCAUGCCGCGUGUAUGAAGAAGGCCUUCGGGUUGUAAAGUACUUUCAGCGGGGAGGAAGGCGGUGAGGUUAAUAACCUCGCCGAUUGACGUUACCCGCAGAAGAAGCACCGGCUAACUCCGUGCCAGCCGCCGCUGUAA